rnacentral:lncRNA from 1 species
CAUUAAUCCUGUGGAAUCAUUUUUAGGCUCCUUAUUUUUUUUCACAGCUCUAGUUCUGCAGCUGCUCGGAUUAACUGCUCUUCACAGACGAUGAGGUGGAGGUGGAACCGGACUGAGGUCCAUCACCUGUACAGGUGUGGAUAGGCCAGCUGAGCCAGAUGUGCAGACCAUUGCAGCGGGGGAUACAGAGGCUUUAGGAGUGAGAGACCCCCCCCCCCCCCACGUCUCCUGUAGGAGGAGCCAAUCAGCAGCACCUUCACACCUGUAGAGACACUUUCACACAGGAACAGCUCAUUGGAAGGAAGC